GAAAGUUGAGGAAUUGUGUAUCCUCACCAGAUCUCUAAACAAUUCUCCAACACAGCAUCCUAGGCUGUACCUGACCUGAAUUCAGAUGCAAAAGAACUGGUUUUGGCAUAGUGCAGGUUGACUACUGAUCCUGAAUCUACUUGCUUUUAUUUGGGGUAUCAUCAUGACAAGUGUAUGAGAGGGCAGAGAGUAUGCUCUGCUGGUCAACCUCCAUAGUGAUACCAUAGUGCUGAGUGGCUUUUUAUUUACUCUCUUGAACCUAUGAAUACAUCCUCUAUAGAAAUCCAAGUGUUAACUUUUGUCAUCUCUAUCCAUAUUUCCA
rnacentral:lncRNA from 1 species